CCCCUCCCAACACAGCCAGGGACUGCAAUGGCCCCACCUCCCUGUGGAAGGGACCCAGGCCCCUGCCCUGGUCUAAUCCAAUCAGGAAGGCAGUCUGAUGCUCUCUGGCAGUUUUUGCAUCUCAGGAAUCCGGUCUAACGAGUUUCUGGAAGCUUGUGGGCAGUUGUUCAGCUCUUCCUCGGAUGUUUUGGGAAAAAACAGCCUUCUCUUCACCGCUAGAAGCAGGCAUUGAGGGGAGGUUGCUGGGCAGGGGUGCAGGGGUGACUAGGUUCCUGGGAGCCAGGGCCACACCUGGGAGCCGAGUGCAGGCAAGAUGCCCCCAGGAGGCUGGUCGUGGAGGCAAGAACUCUAGGGGUCCACAGAUGGUUCUUCUUGGGCCACUGCCGGUCCAAACACCUCAUGAGGAGGAAGGACUGUUCCAUGUGAGGCAUCUGCUCCUCCAGAGACUGGGCUUGAGUCUUGAGUUUCUAGAAGCAGCUUUCCAGCCCCCCCCGCCCNCCCCCCCCGCCUCAGCUUUUCAUCAGGGCUCACUUGAGGAUCUCCUGGCUCUUACCUUUUCCAUCUAACGGAGUCCCUGCCAUGGAAAAGCUUGGCAAGGCAGCCCCUCCUGAUGCCCCCGACACAGUGCACCCACUGGACUCCUCCCUCGUGCAGCAGCAGCACGAGGUCUGGUCCUUCGAUGCCUGGACCACGCAUGCCCCUUAGAUGGGUGCUCCUCCUUCUCACUCCGGGGCUUUCACUCCGGGGCUUGGACUCCCAUGUUUUUGCUUUCUUUUAGGGCCGCACCCCCGGCAUAUGGAGGUUCCCAGGCUAGGGGUCGGAUCAAACUUAUGGAUACUCGUUGAGUUUGUUAGCCACAACGGGAACUCCCCCUCUUCCAGCUUCUAGGGGGUGCUGGCCCUGGUAGGCUUGCGGCUCCCCCACUCUAGUCCCUGCUUGGCUUUUCAUGACCUUCUCCGGUGUGUAUCAUCUCCCUUGGCCUUAUCUUUUUUUUUUUUUUUUUAAUUUAAAAACACUGUACUGUUAAAAAAUGUUAACUCUCGGAGUUUCCUGGUGGCCUAGGGGGCUAAUCUGGCGUUGUCACUGCUGUGGCGUGGGUUUGAUCCCUGGUUCAGGAAAUCCCGCUUGCCAAGGGUGGGGGGGGACAAAAAUAAAUCAACAAAUGAAAGAUUUAAAAAAAACAGUUACAAUUGAAUGGGCAAUGGCAAGUUUCACUGAGUGUACCUUUUUUUUUUGUCUUUUUGUCUUUUAUAGGGCCGUUCCCUCGGCAUAUGCAGGGUUCCCAGGCUAGGGGUCGAAUUGGAGCCAUAGCCAUGGGCCUACACCACAGCCACAGCAACACGGGAUCCAAGCCGGGUCUGUGACCUACACCUCAGCUCACGGCGAUGCCAGAUCUUUAACCCAAUGAGCGAGGCCAGGGAUCGAACCCGAAACCUCCUGGUUCCUAGUCGGACUUGUUAACCACUGAGCCAUGACGGGAACUCCGAGAGUACCUUUUUUAUUUGCCAGCUUCUGUGCUCUGCCCAGCCCAGUGCUAAGAAGACGCUCACACAGAAUUAUAACUAGAAAUAAUUAUUACAGCUCACAUACAACUAUAAUCAUACUCAGGGCAAAAUCAUGGAAAAUGCACUUGAAUGCUUCAUUGCCUUGCCUGUGGAAUGAGUAUCUCAUGAGAUCCGUCGUUACUCAUUUUCCGUUGUUAAAUGCCCAAGUGCCCCUUCUAGAGGUGGUGCCAGCCAGAUUCGCUCAUUUGUUCAGGAUCACUCCCAGCCACAUGGCACUUGGCCACGGAGAACGGCAGCUGCUACUCCCGUCGGGAUAGACCCCAGGUAGAGGGUUACCUCUCGGCUCUCCAAGUCCAUGUUGUACAGCGGCUCUGCAGGUGGAGGUCCCCCCCCUUCCCCCCCCAACCUCCCGGGUGGCGCAGGUGUUCAUCCUUCCUCAAGACCGUCCACCAGGUGGCCCUUCCGCCUGAGGCUCAGGACAUGGCGGCUGCAUCACCUUCUCUUUCUUGCCCCUGGCGGUCACCUUGUCUUUUUUCUUACUUUUUUAUGAAAAAAAAAUUUAAUGUAUUUUUUUUUUUUUUGGCGUUUUUAGGCUGCACCUGUGGCGUAUGGAAGUUCCCAGGCUAGGGGUUGAAUCGGAGCUACAGCUGCCUGCCAGCCACAGCCACGCCAGAUCCUUAACCCACUAAGCAAGGCCAGGGAUCGAACCUGUAUUCUAUGGAUCCCAGUUGGGUCCGUUACUGCUGAGCCACAACAGAAUGCCUUGAAGUAUCUUUUUUUUAUUUUUUUAAUUAUAGUUGAUUUACAGUUUUGUGCCAAUUUCUGCUGUACAGAAAAGUGACCCAGUCGUACAUAUGUAUUAUAAAACAUGAUGGAGGAUACACAAUCUUUUCCUCAUAUCAUCCUCCAUCAUGUUUUAUCCCAAGAGAAUGGACACAGUUUACUGUGCCACACAGCAGGACCCCAUUGCUUAUCCAUUCUAAAUGUAAUAUCUGGGGUUGACAGAUGCAAACUAUUGCCUUUGGAGUGAAUAAGCAAAGAGAUCCUGCUGUGUAGCACUGGGAACUACAUCUAGUCACUUGUGAUGGAACAUGAUGGAGGAUAGUGUGAGAAAAAGAAUAUGUAUAUACGUGUGUGACGGGUCACUUUGCUGUGCAGUAGAAAUUGACAGAACACUGUAAAUCAGCUAUAAUGGAAAAAAAUCAUAUUAAUAAAACCAAAAAAAACAAAAAACCACGAGACACUGGCUCAAGAUCAGGGAGACAAGCCUAGGGAAUACGCUCAUGGAGGCAGACACAUCAGGCUACAUACAAUGGAAGAGCGGAAUUUAGCUCAUUAGUGUAGCUCAGCCUCGGGCCCACGGAGAGGUCUUGGGAGUGUGGGGACACCCUCGGGAGGGACGCGACCUCCUCAGUGGGCCCCAUAUUCUGUGCCGCCCGUUAUUCAUGUUGCUUUCCCUCCAGUCCAACUUAGACCAAAGGCUAUUUAACUGACCGGUAUGCAGCCCCCUGUUCUCAUUCCCGGGGUGCCAAGUAGCAGGUAGUAACAUGCAAGCAGGAAAAACCAAAGGCGGAGCUCCCAUCGUGGCGCAGCAGAAAUGAAUCUGACUAGGAACCGUGAGGUUGCGGGUUCGAUCCCUGGCCUCGCUCAGUGGAUUGAGGAUCCGGCGUUGCCGUGAGCUGUGAUGUAGGUCGCAGUCGCAGCUCAGAUCUGAUGUGGCUGUGGCUGUGGUGUAGUCUGGCAGUUGUAACUCUGAUUGGACCCCUAGCCUGAGAGAACCUCCAUAUGCUGCAGGUGCAGCCCUAAAAAGC
rnacentral:lncRNA from 1 species